rnacentral:rRNA from 1 species
CCUACGGGAGGCUGCAGUGAGGAAUAUUGGUCAAUGGACGCAAGUCUGAACCAGCCAAGUAGCGUGCAGGAUGACGGCCCUCCGGGUUGUAAACUGCUUUUAGGUGGGAAUAAAAGGGAGCUCGUGAGCCCCGUAUGGUAUGUACCAUCAGAAAAAGGACCGGCUAAUUCCUGGCCAGCAGCCGCGGUAAUACGGAAGGUCCGGGCGUUAUCCGGAUUGCUUGGGUUUAAAGGGAGCGUAGGCCGGCGUUUAAGUCCGCUGUGGAAGUCCGGGGCUCAACCGGGGAAUUGCAGUUGAAACUGGAGGCCUUGAGUGCACACAGGGAUGCCGGAAUUCAUGGUGUAGCGGUGAAAUGCUUAGAUAUCAUGAAGAACUCCGAUCGCGAAGGCAAGUGUCCGGGGUGCAACUGACGCUGAGGCUCGAAAGUGCGGGUAUCAAACAGGAUUAGAUACCCUGGUAGUC